UUAUCGGAGAGUUUGAUCCUGGCUCAGGACGAACGCUGGCGGCGUGCCUAAUACAUGCAAGUCGAGCGGACAGAUGGGAGCUUGCUCCCUGAUGUUAGCGGCGGACGG
rnacentral:rRNA from 1 species